CCCUUAGAUGUUCUGGGCCGCACGCGCGCUACACUGAUGCAUUCAACGAGCCUAUCCUUGACCGACAGGUCCGGGUAAUCUUUGAAUCUGCAUCGUGACGGGGAUAGAUUAUUGCAAUUAUUAAUCUUCAACGAGGAAUGCCUAGUAGGCGCAAGUCAUCAGCUUGCGUUGAUUACGUCCCGGCCCUUUGUACACACCGCCCGUCGCUCCUACCGAUUGAAUGGCCCGGUGAAGCGCUCGGACCGCGGCCUCUUGACGGUUCGCUGUCGAUUGGCUGUGGGAAGUUCGUUAAACCUUACCAUUUAGAGGAAGGAGAAGUCGUAACA
rnacentral:rRNA from 1 species